AAAAUAAGAUUUUUACAACUAUUUUUUGUAUGUUUUUACUGAAACUUUAAUUUUUUUGUUGUAACUUUAAAAAAUAAGAUAAAGCAUGAUUAGUAGUAUUUAAGGUUGUAGAUGAAAAUUAAAGCUAAAGUCACUUCUUACAGCCCAACCAAUCACCCAUAUUAAAAACUGAUUAUAAAACGCAUCUAAAAAUCCACAAAAUAGCAUUCAUUGAACAUUAAAAGAUUAUCUUAAACACUAAUUAAU
rnacentral:lncRNA from 1 species